rnacentral:rRNA from 1 species
AGCGUCCCCGCCUCCCGUCUGAUCAACCCAAAGCAUACCAUCUUCUCUCCUCUCCUUUCAUCCAUGGCUUCUCCCGCUCUCAAAUUCGCCGCCAUCAUGCUCCUGGCCGCCCUCUGCGCUGCCGCGCUGGCCCGGCCACAUCGGCGCAGCCGACGGAUGACGGGCUAGCGACGUGCAUCACGCGCUGUGGGUGUGUGCCCUGCCCGAAAGGGAAGUUCUGCCCCGCUGUGUGCACGACCCCGCCUGCCUGCAAGGCCAAAUGCGAGUCCCCGUAGUCCGGCGUGGGCUGGUAGGCCGGCUGCGACCUGGCGACGCCCCCUGCGCCCGCCGCUGCUGCGACCGUGAGCAAGCUUGCGAGCGCAUGAUGCUGAAGCCAACACUGUAUUGUAAGCCCUGUAUGUCUGCAUGUAUUGUGCGUGUCUGUGCUGUGAUGUGGUAAUAAAAUGUCAACGGAUCGAUCCGUGAGACAAAAAUAAAUAAAUAGAAAUGUUAUUUAUUUUUGUCACAGUCAAACUUCAGAGCAAGUAUAUUGGAAACAUAUAUCAAUUUAUCAACCGAUACAAUACCAAAUAAAUACAGUAUAAAAUAUGUUUUAUCUGGAUUUAAGGAUUGAUUUGGUAUUGUGAAUAAAGAUCUUUCUUUUGGUCAAAGGUGGAAGCUAAAUAUGUUUGACUUGUGCAAAACGGCCGGUGGGUGUGGCGGACAGUGGCGGCCGGCUGGUCGAUGUCGGCGGCUCAGUGGGGGUGCCGUUGGCUGGCCGGUGGUGGUGGGGGCGAACUGGGGAGGGAGGCAGGGGCCCUCUUGACUGUGCCGAUAUCUCGGUGGUCCAUGUCCCUGGUGGAGCGGUGUGGUGGCUGCCGGCUGCCGGCGACCCUCCCCUGCCUGGAUCUGGCCGUCUGGGCCGCCUUCCCUCCAAAGGGUUCAUUUUGGGGUGGAAGGAGGUGCCUUCUACCUCGCACCGGUCGGUGGCCUCGGUGGUGGUAGUCGUGUUGCUUCUGGGCGGGCUGCGCGGCUCAGGUGUGGGCUGGUCACUAUGGCCGUUCGGCCGGCAUGGCGGCCGGUGCAUUGGCGAGCGGAGGCGUUUCGAUGGUGGAGCGUGAAUGCCAGGAGAGAUCCCCUGCUCGGCUUCGGUUGGGCUGACGGUGGCGGCGUCCGUGUGCGUCGUCUCCUUCCUGAAGACGUCGUCGUGGCUACUCUCCCCCUUCGGAUGGUCCAGGUGAAAACCAUGAUCCUUUGGAUCUGGCGGCGACGGCGCUCUGGUGUCGUUCCCCUUCUUGAAGGUGCCGUCUUGGAGGCCUACUUUCGCCGAGCUCAGUUUCGUGGCUGUUCCUUUACCUGUUGUAUCUGGCCUUGGGUGUCUUGUGUGGUGUGGUGUUGAGUUGUUUGUGAUGAUUGUAAUCG